rnacentral:lncRNA from 1 species
GCCAAAUUAAAUCUCUCCUCCCCUUGAUUGUCUCAGGUAUUUUAUUUCAGCAAUGAAAAGCUGACUAACACAUUGCCCCACUCUGCUGGGGUGAAUCUGUGGAUUGAUGAUGACAGGAAGAAGGGGUACCUUGAUAACUGGGUGGUAGUUUAUAGUCUAGAGCAUUCUUUCCCAAGCACAGGGUGAAGAAUGACCUGUUUUGGAUCAAGGCACCACUGUGGAAGAAAGGUUUGAUUCCAGUGCAGAUGCAUGGGCCCCAACCCAGAGACUAUUUUCACUAGGAUUGGGUGAGACUUGUAACCUAUUUUCAAAGAAUCUUCAACAAGGUAAUACUGUGCCCACCAGGGCCUGUCCCUGUGGUGAUCCAGAGAGUGGUAAGUGUCCACAAGGGUACCUGCAAGGUUGUCUCAGGUGGCAGCAUACAUGUAGGUCACCAAACAUCACUUAGUCAGUUUGGCACUUGCUCAUCUUACAUGUCAAUGAUACAUCUGGCUCCAUCAGUAGAACUCCUUGCUUCUAAUUAGCAGAGUGAUAUUAAGUUUUCAUAGGGAGAAGUUAAUAAGGAAAAACAUGUUGAAGAGCUCCUUAGAGUAGACGAAAGUAAAAAGUGUUGGCUUUCUGAAUAGGACUCCCAUAGCUUAGGAAAUAAAUAGCAAGAAUCAACAAAUAGGAUGGCAUCAAAUUACAAUGCUUCUGCACAGCAAAGGAAAUCAUUAACAUUGUGAAGAAACAGCCCUCAGAAUGGGAGAAAAUCUUUGCCAGCUACUCUUCCAACAGAGGAAUAAUAUUUGAAUGUAAAAAGAACUCAGAUUCAACAUCAGAAAAACAAAUAAUCUAUUUAAUAAAUAGGCAAAUUAACUAAGCAGAUACUUCUUUUAAAAAGUACAAAUGGAAUUCAAUUUAUGGAAAAGUGCUCAUCUUUUGGCAUCAGGGAAAUGGAAAUCACAACUACAAUGAGAUUCCAUCUAACUCUAGUCAGAACAGCAAUCAUUAAGACCCCAAAUAACAAAUGCUAGCAAGGAUAUGGGGGGGAUGACUCAUGCACUGUUGAUGUGAAUGCAAAUUAGUACAGCCCCACAGAAAUCAAUAAGGAAUUUCUUCAAAAAACCAAAAAUCAAACUACCACAUGACCCAGCUCCACCACUCCUCAAUAUUUAUCCAAAAGAAUUAAAGUCAGCAUAUAGUAAUAAAUAUGAAUGUCUAUGUUUAUUAUGGCAAAAUUCACCAUUUCCAAGUUAUAGAAUUAUCCCAUGUGUCCAUCUACAAGUGACUGGAUAAAGAAAAUGUGGCACAAAUAUGCAAUGGAGUUGAAUUCCUUCAUAAAGAAGAACAAAAUUGUACCAUUUGCAGGAAAAUGGAUGGAUCUGGAGAUUAUCAUGUUAUGCAAAAUAAGUGACACUCGGACAAGUAACAGAAGGACAUCAUAAAAGCAAAAGGGUGACUAUUAGGUAGAGGAAGGGGUCUAGGAAAAGGAGGAGGGGAAGGCAAGGGGAGGUAUUGAGGAGUGCAAUUAGGAGUGCAAUUAAUCAAGUUAUGUUAUAUAAGUGUAUGAAUAAGCCACAGUGGAAUCCACUAUUCUGUACAAUUAUUAUGCAACAAUUAAAAAAAAAACGAAAAAAGUGUUGAGAAACAUUGGUUUAUGCAAGAAUGUCUGUAUUUCUGCUGAGAAGUUAAAAUUAUGCCAGGUCAACCACACCCUUUCAUUCUGCCUCUCUGUGCCCAUGGACAAUGGGGCCAAAGAUAAGAUCUGAAUUUACAUGUUAGAGUUUCUCCAGCCAUUAACUGUGAAUGGUCAUAUUUGCCCUGACUUGUACAGUUAGGAUGAGAUCUCUCUUUUAAUCCCAUGGCUCUAGUCAUUUGUUCCACUCGUUUGUCACUUAGCACUUAGCAUUAGUGACCUGACAUCUUUUGUAUGUGUCUGUUUUGUCUUCAUAACUAGAUUAGAAAGUCUUUUAUGGUAGAGACCUUGUGUUCACCUGAUAGUGCACUAAUUUACUCACGCGUCUAUCAGACAGGCAUUGAGCACUGCCAGGCACAGGGAUAGAUUAAAUUAAAAAAAAAUAGUAAGAUAUAGUCUCUGACUUUAAACAUUUCUAGCAAACAAACCAUGGCUUGGAAAAUAUAAUGACUGAGAUGUGUUUAUUUUGUACAGAAAAGUACCCUGCCCAGCGGAGAGGAGGCCAUCUUUAACUGAGGCUCAAAGGAAAAAUGAGGAAGAGUAAGUUUUCCAGGUAGAGAAUGGAUGGGGAACAGGAAGACCAUUCCAGGCUGAACUAGAGCUUC